UCUCUGUGUGACUGCUGCUCUGCUGCUGCCUCUCUGCUGUGGUACCAAAAUUCAUCCUCAAUAUGAUGGAGUGACACAAAUUCCAGAUUAUGCAGAUUACACCUUUGACUAUGACGGUAAUUCAACAUUCAGUUAUGAGAUGUAUGAAAUUCUCAGUCAAGGAAAAGAAACAGCACCUGGCAGUAACGUGAACAAGCUGGCUUCAAAAACAGCACAUGGAUUCUAUGCUGUACUACUGGGACUGACAGUACAACAGUUCUGCCUACAAAUAUGAAUGGGGCUGCACAACAAAGGAUCUGAAGCCACAGCGAGAGACCAGUCUAGAUGUCCAGGCAAUUUACCAGAGGAUGCACCAUUUCCUUCCUUCUUAAUCUUCAUAUUAUACAUAAGGUUAUUUUUUACUUGUACAUAAAUAUUCAACACAAUUGCAUCAACUCAAAGAGUAUAUCAGCCCCCUGAAACCUGAAGCUGCAAUCUUUCUAUUUUUCACUGACACCAUGAGCUGGCUUUCUGCAAAUGGAUUAAGCCUAGUCCUCUUUAUAUAGGUUCCAUGCUGAAUGGAGAUUCUCCAUGGUAAGGAAAAUGUAGUCCAGGUUACGGCUAAUGGGGUCAAUUUCCAGGGACUUUACUGUAACACUUCACUGGGCUAGGACCGGGUUCAAGACAACUGACAGAUACCUACAUAUACAUUUUUUACUUUCUUGGGUGAAACUGACUAAAGCACCCUUUAUGAUAACUGCUGCUUGUUGGAAUAGGCUUUUAUGAAUGUUAAUGUAGAUUUAGGUCAGCUGUCAUAAAAGGCUUAUGCAGGUGUCUUGUCUUACAAAUGCUGCCCUUCAGUAAAGUGUUACUAAUAUUGUAGUCAGCUAUGGCACUGUAAUGGCCUUAAGUAUUCAUUUCUUUAAGAAAUGCACCCAAUAACACCUAAAACAAGAGAUGGAAAAAAAAACUAGGCCAAGAAACUGCUGUCUUCAGGUGAUAGGAAACAAGAUUACUCAACUCAUGCACAUUUCAUUUCAACAGGCCAUUUUUCAAAGCCUACUGCAGAAUUAUAUGAACUACUUUUUUUUAAAGAUGAUUUCCAUUAAAUACACUGAGUCAUUAAUGUAUAUGAUCCUUUCUCACCUACAAGAGCCUCUACUUUGUGAUAAACUGUCUCUGGUCUUCAUUGGACACAAACGAUGUAAACAUGUUUAAAACAUUACAAUAAAUGGUUCAACACAUUUGGGAAAA